GAUGAACGCUGGCGGCGUGCCUAAUACAUGCAAGUCGAGCGAACAGACGAGGAGCUUGCUCCUCUGACGUUAGCGGCGGACGGGUGAGUAACACGUGGAUAACCUACCUAUAAGACUGGGAUAACCUCGGGAAACCGGAGCUAAAACCGGAUAAUAUAUUGAACCGCAUGGUUCAAUAGUGAAAGACGGUUUUGCUGUCACUUAUAGAUGGAUCCGCGCCGCAUUAGCUAGUUGGUAAGGUAACGGCUUACCAAGGCAACGAUGCGUAGCCGACCUGAGAGGGUGACCGGCCACACUGGAACUGAGACACGGUCCAGACUCCUACGGGAGGCAGCAGUAGGGAAUCUUCCGCAAUGGGCGAAAGCCUGACGGAGCAACGCCGCGUGAGUGAUGAAGGUCUUCGGAUCGUAAAACUCUGUUAUUAGGGAAGAACAAAUGUGUAAGUAACUAUGCACGUCUUGACGGUACCUAAUCAGAAAGCCACGGCUAACUACGUG
rnacentral:rRNA from 1 species